AUGGUGGGCCUGGGCUGGACGGCGGAGCUGACCCCACAGCCCCUCCGUCUGCUCCGGCCGCGGGGGCCUGCAGGAAACUCACACGUCCACACACGUCCCCGUGACGUCGGAGCCACGCGGCCUCGCUCGGACGAAGCGCAGGAGAUGGUCCGGAGCCUCCUGGAAUGUCCUCGUCGCGACGAUCGAUCAGAAGACCUGCCCCACGGACCCCAGCAUGAGGACAAGGGCUGGGCUCACGCCGACCGCGAGAGCCAGAGGCCACCGCACGGGGCAGCGUGCGCGCGCCCCGAGCCAGGGAGGCCGCUGUGCCGGUCGCCGGGGCUGACGGCCGGGCGGCGCCUCGGGAACGGGCCUGAGGGCUGCAGGAGUGCAGCUUCCACCACGGCCCCAUCGGUUUUCCCACUGGCCCCCAGCUGCGGGGCCACCCCCGGACCCACAGUGGCCCUGGCCUGCCUGGUGUCCGGCUACUUCCCUGAGCCUGUCACUGUGUCCUGGAACUCCGGCUCCUUGACCAGCGGUGUGCACACCUUCCCGUCCGUCCUGCAGUCCUCGGGGCUCUACUCUCUCAGCAGCAUGGUGACCGUGCCCUCCAGCAGGUGGCCCAGCGACACCUUCAUCUGCACCGUGGCCCACCCAGCCAGUAACACCAGGGUGGACAAGAGAGUGACCCCAGGAGAAACUCCUGACCCAUGCACAUGUCUCCAGCGUCCAGAAUGUAAUAUGCUCGGAGCACCUUCGGUCUUCAUCUUCCCCCCGAAACCCAGGGACGUCCUUAAGAUGGCCCACACCCCCGAAGUCACGUGCGUGGUGGUGGACCUGGCCCAAGAAGACCCUGAGGUCCAGAUCAGCUGGUUCGUGGACAACCAGGAGGUGCACACGGCCCAGACGCAUCUGCGUGAGCAGCAGUUCAACAGCACCUUCCGUGUCGUCAGUGUCCUCCCCAUCCAGCACCAGGACUGGCUCAAGGGGAAGGUCUUCAAGUGCAAGGUCAACAACAAAGCUCUCCCAGCUGCCAUUGAGAGGACCAUCUCCAAGGCCAGAGGGGAAGCCCAUCAGCCCAGUGUGUAUGUCCUGCCCCCACCCUGGGACGAGCUGAGCAAGAACAGGGUCAGUGUGACCUGCCUGGUCAAAGACUUCUACCCACCUGACAUUGAUGUGGAGUGGCAGAGCAACGGCCAACAGUUUCCAGAGGCCAGUGUGCGAACAACCCCGCCCCAGCUGGAUGCGGACGGCACCUACUUCCUCUACAGCAAGCUCUCGGUGGACAAGGCGCGCUGGCAGCGGAAAGAAACCUUCACGUGUGCGGUGCUGCAUGAAGCCCUACACAACCACCACACGCAGAAGACCAUCUCCCAGUCUCCGGAGCUGCUCCUGGACGACAGCUGUGCCGAGGACCAGGACGGGGAGCUGGACGGGCUGUGGACCACCAUCUCCAUCUUCAUCACCCUCUUCCUGCUCAGCGUGUGCUACAGCGCCACUGUGACCCUCUUCAAGGUGAAGUGGAUCUUCUCCUCGGUGGCGCAGCUGAAGCACACGAUCGUCCCCGACUACAGGAACAUGAUCGGCCAGGGGGCCUAGGGCCGGUCCUCGUGGCCGGUGUCCAGGGCCGCCCUCGACACCCCACGGGAACCGGCUGCAUCGGUUCGUGCCGCUCGGCCUGCUGCCAGGCCUGCCCC